rnacentral:tRNA from 3 species
GCACCUAUAGCUCAGUUGGAUAGAGUGUCAGCCUCCGAAGCUGAAGGUCGUGGGUUCGAUUCCCGCUAGGUGCGCCA